CGGGGCGCGUGCACACACGCCUUCAAAUCUUCCCUUAAAACAUGUCAACCAACCCUUCGGCAACCGCGCUAACAGCACCAAAUGAGCUAUUUCCCCCGAUAGUAGCGCUCCCUAGUCUGUUAAAUGUAGACAUUGGAUUAGAUUACACAAAAGAAUAUAUAACAGAGAGAAAUACAGCAAACGACAAUCCGUUAUGGCAGACUUGUAGGGAAAGACAAAUAGCUCGCCAUGUUUUUAUUGAUUGACAUGAGACGUGUCCAACCCGGUAAGAGGCCAAAUUUGAAAUAGUGUGCGUCACCGCUGUCUUAGCCAAUCGAGUUGCAGCAGGGGCGGGUUUUUGUGUGUCCGUUACGCAGGAAGCACAGUGGUUAGAAUAAGGGAGAAUCCAAUCCGGUUUGAGCUAGUUUUCUUCCAAUGGAACAUUAACGACUCGCUGCGCUGUAUUAGACUGUAGUGUCACGGCUUUAUCCAGAAAAUACCACUGUAUUUUUGCCUCAAUUCUAUACCAACUUCUUUCUUUUUCUUUUCUCCAAAACACCUCAUUUUAACCAACCAUGCCUAAAAGGAGCAAAAUAGCCAUAGAUGAGGCAGCGCCCAAAAGGAGAUCGUUGAGGUUGGGGGACGUAAGUAGUAGUCGAUUAAAACACUAGCAAAAGUUUUGAACCUACUUUCUUGUGAUGACACAAUUUUCUUUUAUUUUUUUUUGUAGAAAGCAGAGCCAGCAAAGGCAGAGCCCAAAACAAAGCCAAAGAAGGCGCCUGCGAAAGCUAAAAAAGCCAAGGAGGUGGAAAAGGCCAAGCCUGAGGAGAAAGCAGACGAUGCCCCUGCAGAGAACGGUGAAGCCAAAGCUGAGGAAGAGGCCGCUGCUACGGACGCCGCUGAGGAAAAGGACGAGGCAGCAGAAUAACAUCUUUCCAGCUUCACACUCCCUGUACCUCUUUUCUUGUACAAUUCAGGGGAAUAUUUUUAUCAGCUAUUUUCUAAAAAAAAAAAAAAAAAGGUUUUUUAGUAGUUUGAUUGUAGAAUACACUUCUUUUUUUUUUAAAAGGGGGAAAAAGUCAAUUGGCAAAAGGAAGUUAAUCACAUCCUCGUGAUUAUGCCAUCAUUGUUGUUACAGUGAGUGGAUUUCAUUUCAGUUCUAAAUGUGAAGGUGUGUGGGGGGCGGGGUGGGUGGGGGGCAGAAACAGGUAAGCAUGUCAACAGGCAAGGCGGAGGAUUACAUUCCAUAUGCUUUAUAAGGGACUGUGUAUGUGAACUUUGCCAGGGAGGGAUGGACAACUCAUUGUUUUAUUGUUUAUAAUGAAGAACAGUGUUUUAGAAUGUUUGUAAGCUUUGUUCAUUGUCUUUAACUCUUGUACUCAUGCAGUUUUCUGAACCAAUUCGAUCAAUAAAGCUAAAGUCCGUAGUACUGGAGCUCUCCCU
rnacentral:lncRNA from 1 species